AGGUGCACGUAACUGUGCUUAAUUGGGAAUGUGAGUGAGAAUCUCCGACUGUCCCGCAGCAGUGAACUCCAUUAUGGCUGUCCGACUACAGGCCAUUGCCCGUUUGGGCGAGAAGGCGUCGGACAGUGGAGGAAAGUCUGAAGACCAGCCUUUUGCGC
rnacentral:ncRNA from 1 species